GAAAAAAAAAAGAAGCAUUUCUACUAGUACUCAUGUUGUUUUGACAAAGAGAUUGAAAGUGAGUAGUACUUUAAUGUUUAGGGAUCCGUAGUGUAUCUAACUCCAAUUCUUUUGAUUAACCUACUUUUCCAAAUAUAUCCCACUUUAACCUAAGCCACGCUAUAACCUUGAAAGACCUUUAAAGUGUGUGUGAUUAUAUGACUUUGAAUGAUUGUUUAGAAUUUCUUCAAGUUCAUAGCAAAAUGCAUUAACAUGUUGAUUUGAGCGGGCAAAUGCCAUGACCAGCCCCACUGGCUUGAGAAUUGGUGAGGAAGAGAAUAGGAAGGAGAGUGUGGUUGAAAGCAUGAACUAUCUUCUCUAAGUUUGCCCCGCUUGAGCAAAAUUGGUAAGUUAGUCAACGCCGGAAGUGGAACGAAUGAGGAUCUGAGCACCCUCUCGGAAAGGUAAUAAAUUGAGUUGUUGGAGUGAAAAAAAAAAAACCAAAGAUCAUGUUCAACGCAUAAGCCAAAGAAGGGCUGAACUUGUUUCCAUAAGAAAAGUGCAGAACAAAUUUCAAUCAGCUUGAUGUGCGCCCCGCAUGUUAAAAUACACACAUAAGAUUUCUCUUCCUCAUAUUAGUUCCAACGUGGCACCACAUGAUAGGCUAUAAUGCACUCAUUUUAUUCAUGUGGUCCCACCACAACAAGUGACCUUGACAUGAAGAAAGAGAGCACGUGAUUGGAGGAGGGGAAUUAGGUUUCACUUGUUUUGGAAUAUAAAAAGGAGGCAGCUGCAACAAAUACAAGGGACUUUUGGGAACCAGAGAGAAGAAGCAGCGCAUGACAAUGGGAAAGGAAGGCAACGACAAUUAAAGGGAUCCGGAUAGAGAACGACGAUGCAGGGUGACGUUGGUCUUGUCGGAAAAUUUGUCCGGUUUAUUCUCUUUUCUUUGUUGUUUAUUUUCUUUAUCAUGAGUAGCUAAUUUUCAUGUUGUUAGGGAUGAGAGUAUCUAGAUGACAACUUUUGUUAUAUGAUUUUCUUUUGAUUAUUGAAGAAGUUUAUUGAA